rnacentral:rRNA from 1 species
AGGCUGCAGCAAGGAAUAGUAGACAAUGGGCGAAAGCCUGAUCUCGCGACGCCGCGUGAGGGAUGAAGGUCUUCGGAUCGUAAACCUCUUUUCUCAGGGAUGAAUAAUGACAGUACCUGAGGAAUAAGUCACGGCUAACUACGUGCCAGCAGCCGCGGUAAAACGUAGGUGGCGAACGUUAUCCGGAUUUACUGGGCGUAAAGAGUGCGCAGGCGGCUUUUCAAGUCGGAUGUAAAAUCUCCUGGCUUAACUGGGAGGGACCAUCCGAUACUGUUGAGCUUGAGUGCAACAGAGGAGAGUGGAAUUCCCGGUGUAGUGGUGGAAUGCGUAGAUAUCGGGAGGAACACCAGUGGCGAAAGCGGCUCUCUGGGUUGUUACUGACGCUGAUGCACAAAAGCGUGGGGAGCAAACAGGAUUAGAUACCCGUGUAGUC